AUUGAACGCUAGCGGGAUGCUUUACACAUGCAAGUCGAACGAGUGGCGGACGGGUGAGUAAUAUAUCGGAACGUGCCCAGUCGAGGGGGAUAACUACUCGAAAGAGUGGCUAAUACCGCAUACUAUUGGAGCGGCCGAUAUCGGAUGAGAAAGGUGGUGGGGUAAGGGCGCACCAAGGCAACGAGCCGUAGCUUGUUUGAGAGGAAGACCAGCCACACUGGGACUGAGAUCCGGCCCAGACUCCUACGGGAGGCAGCAGUGGGGAAUAUUGUACAAUGGGGGAAACCCUGAUCCAGCCAUCCCGCGUGUAUGAGAAGGCCUUCGGGUUGUAAAGUACUUUUGGCAGAGAAGCGGUAUCUGCAGAAGAAGCACCGGCUAACUACGUGCCAGCAGCCGCGGUAAUUC
rnacentral:rRNA from 1 species